GAUGAACGCUGGCGGCGUGCCUAACACAUGCAAGUCGAGCGGACGGACGCUUUCGGGGCUUCGCUAAUGGUGAAGGCGGGAGUGUCACGUGCAUGACCUUCCCCGAACUUUGGGACUACGAUAAGAAACUGGUGCCAAAACUGGAAAUGGGCUCCAGCUGGAAGGUGGGGGUUCGAAAGCUCCGGCGGUUGUGGAUGGACCCGGGUGGUAUCAGCUCGUUGGUGGGGUAAUGGCUUACCAAGGCGGCGAUCCGUAGCCGAUCUGAGUGGGUGACCGGUCACACUGGAACUGAGACACGGUCCUGACUCCGACGGGAGGCAGAAGUUGCGAAUGUUGGAAGAUGGGGGAAAGCUUGAACAAGGGACGCAGCGUGAGUGCAGAAGGUCUGCGGAUGGUAAAACGCUGUUAGGGUGGAAGAACGCUUGUAGCAGUAACGAUGCUUUUUUUGACGGUACCUGCAGAAGAAGCACCGGCUAACUACGUG
rnacentral:rRNA from 1 species